rnacentral:sRNA from 1 species
CAACACCUUCCAUAGGAGAAGUUCUACAUCGUUCAUAAGCAUCUUCGAACAUCUUCUUCAGCUCAAGACGCUCCUUUGUUUGACCGCUAGACAUUGCAACCGCGGCGACAAUAGUCGGAGAAACAGAGGCAGAUUUGUUCUGGGGAAAGUUCUUCGAAGCUCUCCUCGAUAACCU